GCGAGCAUCGUAAAAUUUCACUCUCAUCAAUUUUUCAUAAUGCGCCAAAAGAAGUAUAACUUCAAAAAGUCAGCGUUUUACUAACUACUGAGCAGUUACAUUAUUAAGAGCAAAGACCUCUUUCAUUUAAUUUGACAUAAAUUCCAAGAACAAGGUCGUUAUAAAAAUAUUACUUAAUGAUUUAUUAAUUAAAUCAUUUGUAGUUAGUGUCAUAAUAAACGUAGUGAUGAACGCAGUUAUGGUCGCGAAGAUUAUUAUUUCGACAUUGCUGCUAAUCUGUGUACAACUGUCAAGACAAAUGCCACAGAUGCAAGCCACAACACAGACGAACGUUACCAAAUUAGGAAAUGGUACAGAUGGACUGUCGUGCGUAACUGGCAAGGCAGACAAUGGCAUCUGCAUAAAACGAAACAUCUGUGACUAUGGUACACCUGCCAUAGACUUUACUUUAUAUUCUAAACAUGGAUAUAUAAGGUAUUUUCAUAUUAUCUAUUUAAA